ensembl:lncRNA
CUUCUGUGUAAUGGAAUCUCUACUUAGUUUAGGGGAAAAUGCCCUCUGAAAGACGGGACUGCUGAAGCCGGGUCAAUAGGUCAUGAUCAGAGAUGUUAAAAGGAUCCGCUAAGAUCAUGUAGCAAACUAAAGACGAGAAAGCCAACGGCAGACCGCUUUCCAGCCCAGCUCUCAUCGUGGCUCCCAGCAUCCAAACACAGUGAGGAAGAUGAAGUUCAGAGUCCUAAGUGACACCGCUAAUUAUCAGCCAAUCUGAGCUUUUGAACAGACGCAACCUGACUUUCACUUCCCACCAUACACGGUGGAUAGAUCCUCCCAAGAAACCCCGUUUAUUCCCACAUUUCAGCACCUGUCGUCUAGAGAAGUUAAGACAAAGGGGUCCCGAUGACUACACACUGGAUUCAGCACAUUGAGAAGUAAUCUGUUUGCUCUUCUCAGCAGUA